GACGUAGGGCGCGAGCGUUGUUCGGAUUUAUUGGGCGUAAAGAGCUCGUAGGCGGCUUGUUGCGUCGACUGUGAAAACCCGCGGCUUAACUGCGGGCUUGCAGUUGAUACGGGCAGGCUAGAGUUCGGUAGGGGAGACUGGAAUUCCUGGUGUAGCGGUGAAAUGCGCAGAUAUCAGGAGGAACACCGGUGGCGAAGGCGGAUCUCUGGGCCAUUACUGACGCUGAGGAGCGAAAGCGUGGGGAGCGAACAGG
rnacentral:rRNA from 1 species